AGGAUAAAAACUGGGGGGUGUUAGAAGUUAGUCACUUAGAAACGGGUCGUCGCAAGAUGGACAAUCUAGGUGAAAAACGGACAAAACCAACUCCGGAUCAAUAAACUGAGAUCGUCCACAACUUUCGAGUUGGAUCGCAGUUAAAGGUAAA
rnacentral:sRNA from 10 species